UGUUUUACAGGGUCAGACAUAGUAGUGUGGCACCCCUGGAGCAAAUUAGCCCUUAGAAACAGGGACCCAGUUUUCUUUGCAUUAAAAUUAAGCAGUGAUUAAUACUGCCCAAGUAGAACCAGAGUCAUGUAUGAAAUACAGCCAUCCAGAGUAAACACAGUGUCAAGACCUCCACCGAAGUUGGCUCCACUGCCUGUUCGACCAGUGCUCGGAGGUAGUCGUCACCAGCCGACCAGCUGCCACCGAUCCCUUUACCCUUUUCUGUUUGUUUUGUCUCAUUAGUUGCACCUGUGUCUAAUUGUUUCCCUGAUGUGCUUCCUUAUUUAAGAAUAGUAAACCCGCCCUUGGUUUUUGCGGUAUUGAUUUUGUCCGGACCGUGUACCCUGUGUUGGUCAGUAUUUUUUUGCGCCCUGUGUUGGUCAGUAUUUUUUUGCGCCCUGUGUUGGUCAGUAUUUUUUUGCGCCCUGUGUUGGUCAGUAUUUUUUUGCGCCCUGUGUUGGUCAGUAUUUUUUGCGCCCUGUGUUGGUCAGUAUUUUUUGCGCCCUGUGUUUUGGGCAUUGGAUUUUGGUGCCAUAUUAAAGUGCACUUUUCCCUGUGGAGCUCUCUGCGCCCGAUUCUUACCUCACACUGUCACGACUUCUACCGAAGAUACAGUGGAGGCUGCUGAGAGAACGGCUCAUAAUACUGACCAGAACGGAGCAAAUGGAAUGGCAUCAAACACCUGAAUCACCUGUUUGAGGUAGAGUCAACUGUGAGGUCAGCAGACAACAGACAACCUGGGCAGUGCCAUCUAGUGGACUCUGUGAGGAGAACAAGCUCAGACUCAUUGGGCUUGCAUGUCGGGGAAGGAUAGGGUCACUCGUACCCCUUGGACCUAAAGGGGAGACAGGAGAGCCAGGAGGGAAGCAACAGUCCAUCUGAGAAACACUAUUGGAAUAUAAAUGAUCAUGUUAUUUAAGUUACCAAGUUUGAAGAAACAAAUGAGUCUAGUGUCAUGUUCUUUCACGUGCAAGAAUCGAGUUUGAUCAGCCAUUUACUCUCUUAGAUCCAUCAGCUCAAAGCCAGUUUGAUACUAGUGGUAAUGCAAAUAUUGUUAUAUGUGAAAUUUAAACAAGACUUUGAUAUUUUCCCCACAAAAUCACUCAGAGGUACAGUUGGAUAGCCUACCUUUGGAUUCCUAUUCAUCGUUAACCAAAGACAAUUGCCAAAGCUUACAAAGCAAAACUACUGUACCACAUCUAGCAGCUACUGUAGUAAGCAGAACUAGCCAGCAAGCCAAACUGUUUUCAUAAAACACAAGAUAUAAAAAUACUAAACUGAUGCAUGUAUGGUACACUGUUUUCUCAUAUUUGUCGACCUGUUAAUAUAAAUUGAAAUGGAGGAACUUAUUCACGAAGGAUCAAGUGUUAUAUAUUAUACAAAAUAAAGCGAACUGGAUGGAAUAUGGGGGAAAAUGCACCAUUUUGUUUUUAAAAUCUUCAACAUGAUUCUCCAAACAAUAUUUUGAAAGAGGAAGGGAAGUAUUAUAUAGCAUAUGUUUUCAUUUCAGUCUCCUCCAUCUCCACUAACCAAAGUUAAUUGUAAGGAGUUUCUUCCUAUUCAUAAUGUAAAAUUAACAGCUGUACAGAAAGACUCAUUUGAAGACCAAAUUACAGAGGAGGGACUUCUUGAUGCAAUUCAUGCCUUUAAGUCCGGGAAAACUCCAGGUCUGGAUGGCAUACCAGUUAAGGUAGACUAAACCAUUUUUGAUGUGCUCAGUUUACAGUUAUUACUAUGUUCUAACCACUCCAAUAAAAAUUGUAGAUUGUCAGAU